GCCGGGUGUGGUGGCUCACGCCUGUAAUCCCAGCACUUUGGGAGGCUGAGGUGGGUGGAUCACCUGAGGUCAGGAGUUUGAAACCAGCCUGGCCAACAUGGUGAAACCCCGCCUCUA
rnacentral:SRP_RNA from 1 species